GUCUACAACCAUACCACCCUGAACAUAUCCUGUCUCGUCUGAUCUUGGAAGCUAAGCAGGGUCAGGCCUGGUUAGUACUUGGAUGGAAGAUGACCUGGAAAUACCAAGUGCUGUAGGCU
ensembl:rRNA 5S_rRNA 5S ribosomal RNA